rnacentral:rRNA from 1 species
UACGGGGGGAGCAAGCGUUGUUCGGAUUUACUGGGCGUAAAGGGCGCGUAGGCGGUCGUGACAAGUCACUUGUGAAAUCUCCGGGCUUAACUCGGAACGGUCAAGUGAUACUGUCGGACUAGAGUACAGAAGGGCAACUGGAAUUCUCGGUGUAGCGGUGAAAUGCGUAGAUAUCGAGAGGAACACCUGCGGCGAAGGCGGCUCUCUGGGACGGUACUGACGCUGAGACGCGAAAGCGUGGGGAGCGAACAGG